UUUAUAUAUUAGUGUAAGAUGCACAAAGAAUUUUGAUUUCUUUAGUUUUAGUUUAAUUCUAAAAUAUAUAA
rnacentral:tRNA from 1 species